rnacentral:lncRNA from 1 species
CAUUUCUUGGGCCGCUCCCGCGGAGGUUCCCAGGCUAGGGGUCGAAUCAGAGCCGCAGCCACUGGCCCACGCCAGAGCCACAGCAACUCGGGAUCCGAGCCGCGUCUGCGACCUACACCACAGCUCACGGCAAUGCUGGAUCCUUAACCCACUGAGCAAGGGCAGGGAUGGAACCCGCAACCUCAUGGUUCCCAGUUGGAUUCGUUAACCACUGGGCCAUGAUGGGAACUCCAAAGUUUACUAAUUCUUUAUAUGAAACUUAUUCCUGGUUUCUGUUUCCCGGUUGGGCCCUGACUAAUAUAUGGGCUUUGUCAUCUCUUAAGAUUUUUGUCUCCUCCAUGGUCAAAACUGGGCUAUUGUGUCCAGGUUCCAGCUGGUGAAAGGAGAAAGAGAGCAUGAGAAAGAUAGGAGGCAUCACUACUUUCUGUCAGGGAAGAGGUGCACAUGGCUUCUGCUGACAUUAGACUGGUGAGAGUUAGUCCCAGGUCACACCUAAUUGAAGGGGAGCGGGGAGAUAUAGUCCAACCAUAAUGUCAAAGAAGAAAGAAGAAUGGGUUUUCAAAAUUAACAUCUAGUUGAUUUAUAGUGUUGUGCCAGUUUUCACCAUGGCAAACUGUCAUAUACGUAUGUAUAUUUAUUUAUAUGCACACACAUUCCCUUUCUUAUAUUCUCUUCCAUCAUGGUCUAUCCAAGGAGACUGGAUAUAGUUCCUUAUGCUAUACAGAGGACCUCAUUGUUUAUCCAUUAUAAAUGUAAUACUUUGCAUCUACUAACCCCAAACUCCCAGUCCAUCCCACUCCCUCCCCAGUCCCCACUGGUCUGUUCUCUAUGUUUGUAAGACUGUUUCUGUUUUGUAGCUAGAUUCAUUUGUGCCCUAUUUUUGAUUCCACAUGUAAGUGAUAUCAUAUGGUAUUUGUCUUUCUCUUUCUGACUUACCUUACUUAAUAUGAGAAUCUCUAGUUUCAUCCAUGUCACUGCAAAUGACAUUAUUUUAUCCUUUUUUAUGGCUGAGUAGUAUUUCAUUCCAUGCAUAUACCACAUCUCCUUAUCCAUUCAUCUGUUGAUGGACAUUUAGAUUGUUUCCAUGUCGUGGCUAUUGUGACUAGUGCUGCUAUAGCAGAAUGGAUUUUGGUGAGUGACUGGUAGUAUUCACCAUAAUUAUAUAAAAAUUUAAACCAACUAUAUGGCAAAAGAUAUUAUAAGCAAAAGUAAAAGAGAACCAUAGACUGAGAUGUAAAUUCAUAACAUACAUAGAGAUUUGUAGAAGAGUUUUGAGGAACAAUAGCCUUUUGCCAUAUGAAGAGUUAAUAUCCCUCAAAGAUCUUCCACAAAAUGUUUCAAAUAGAACUCCUUAGGAAACUAAAAAGGCUAAACAAACCAAUAAACACCCAAAAAAGGAUACAAACUAUGGAGAAGAUAUUCAACCUCAGGAAUAAUUAGGGAAUUACAAAUUAAAGCAGCCAUGAGCUACUACUUUCCAUCUAUCAGAUCAGAGAAAUUAAAGAGUAGCAAUAGCCAUAGGGAGAAUAUUCACUCAUUUCUUCCCAGUAAAACUAGAAAUUUCUAUAAUGCUUAAGAAAAGUAGGGUAUACAUCUAAAAAUGAAAUACAGGGACUCCUUUAUUGAGGAGUCCUUUGUUUUGGAAAUCUAUCCCGUUAAAAUAAAAACUCCAGUACCUUAGAAGUUUUUUCUUUUUCUUUUUAGUGCCACACCUGUGGCAUAUGGAAGUUCCUGGGUUAGGGAUCAAAUUAGAGCUGCAGCUGCUGGCUGACACCACAGCCGUGGCAACAUGGGAUCUGAGCUGCAUCUAUGGCCUAUGCUGCAGCCUGGCAAGGCCAGAUCCUUAACCCACUGAGAGAGGCCAGGGAUCCCACCCACAUCCUUACGGACAAUACAUUGUGUUCUUAACCCACUGAACCACAAUAGGAAUUCCAAUAAGUAGUUUAUUGAUGUAUUAUUUGUAGAAGCAAAAAUUUUAAAAUAACCUGAAUGGUCUUAAACAGGGAAAUGAUUAAGUAAAUUAUAUUACAUCCAUACUACAUCUUCUUAAUCUGUUCAUAUGUUGAUGGACAUUUAGGUUGUUUCCAUGUCUUGGCUAUUGUGAAUAGUGCUGCAAUGAACAUACAGUGCAUGUAUCUUUUUCAAUGAAAGUUUUAUCUGUAUAUAUGUCCAAGAGUGGGAUUGCUGGAUCAUAUGAUAGUACUGUAUUUAGUUUUCUGAGCUACCUCUAUACGUUUUCCAUGGUGGUUGUACCAAUUUACAUUCCCACCUAGAGUAUAGGAGGGUACCCUUUUCUCCACACCUUGUCCAGCAUUUGUUAUUUGUUGACUUGUUAGUGAUGGCUAUCCUGACAGGUGUGAGGUGAUACCUUAUAGUAAUUUUGGUUUGUAUUUCUCUAAUAAUCAGUGAUGUUGAGCAUUUUUUCAUGUGCUUGUUGGCCAUCUGCUAGAGGGUUAGGAAAGAUGAUUAAAAAAUAAUUAAAAAAUAUUCAUUUCACUGCUGAUGUGAAUCUUCAUUCCUUCCAUUAUUUUUUCAAAAAGAAAAAAGAAAAUGAAACUUGCCCCUUGACAGGUGAAAAUUUCCACAUACCGUAUUGGCAAACUAUCGAGGUCUAGAGAGAAAGAGCCCAUCUGAGUUUCACAAUUUAGUUGUAAAACUUUGAAGUGUUUCAGGAAUGGUUAGUGUCCUAGAUAUUCAGUUCACUAAGCCCCUGGUACUUGGGAAGGUAGAUCAAUACCUGUCUGUCUGCCUUGUUGAUUCUGUUGUAGAUAGGUUAUUUUGCUGAUAAGGAGAAAAAAUAAGCAAUUCCUAAGAUUAGUGGUGAGCUAAUUGCACAUCCAGGAUUGAAACUCUCUGUCAUUAGUUGCCCGAGUUACCCUUUGCUUUCAAGUUCUUCAAGAACUUUUCAAGUUCUUCUCUUAAUCAUGGUGUAUGUUCCUACAGGUGAAACUGAGAUCAUUGAAGGAAACCUGAGUCACGAAAAGCACAUUUGACAUUCUUUUUCUUCCCGUUGUUGUCGUUGAAGAUUUUGCCAUUUGCUAGAGUAAGGAGAAGGAUUAUUUUGUCAAACUUUCAGCCAUAAGUUGGAUACAUAAUCAUAAAGCUUUAGGUCUUACGUAGGUGUUAGGUGUUAGGCAGAGAGAACCUCUAUAUCUGAGUGUCAGAGAAGGAGAGUUCCAUUGUCCUUUGUUACUUUGAUGAAAAAUUGAUGUAUAGGGAGUUCCUGCUAUGGCUCAGAGGUAAGAAACCUGACUGGUAUCCAUGAACAUGUGGGUUCGAUCCCUGGCCUCGUUCAGUGGUUUUGGGUUAAGGAUUCGGCAUUGCUGUGAGCCACGGUGUAGGUUGCAGAUGUUGCUCAAAUCUGGCAUUGCUGUGGCUGCAGUAUAGGCCGUCAGCUGCAGCUCCAACUCUAUCCCUAGCUUGGGAAUUUCCAUACGCUGUGGGUGCAGCCCUAAAAAGACAAAAAAAAAAUGAUAUAUAGUGACAGCUAAAUGUAGGACAAUGUUUAAGUCAACAAGGGCUAGAAGCUGACUUCAAAUGGGAUGUGCGGCUUCUGGGGGUGCUGACAAUAUUCUAUUUCUGGACUCAUUACUAAAAUAUAAAUUUACAUAUGUGAUCAUAUAACAGAAAGAAAGGAAGAGGAAGGAAGGGAUUGAGGAGUAAGGAAAGAAGGAAGGAAAUGGUUGGCUUUUCACAGGCAAGUGUGAUCAUAGAGAGAGGUAAUGAAGUUAACAGUGUUUGACAGACAGCAGUUUUAAGUAUUGACAUGUGAGGUAACAGCACAAGGAAAAAUGAGAAAAUAUAUUUUUAACCUAAAAUAUAUGGUGAUAUUUGUUUUUACUAGCCAGGGGUCCUUAGCAGAGUGUGUUAAUACUUAAUUGUGGAGUGCAGUCCUACAAUCAGGAGUGAGAGGAGAGAGGUAGUAGCAGGAAAAGAAGAAUAGAAAAAUACAAAGGAGCAUGUUACCUCGCUGGCCAGAGCUUUGUGCAGUGUGUUGAUGACUGCUUAGUUUUAUGGAAAGACUGCCCAGAGGCUGUAAAUGUGCCUCAAAUCACUCUUAGGUAACAAAGAAAGAGUGAAAAAAUAUGUAUCAAUUCUCAUGUUUCAUUAGUCAAAGUUUGUUCCAUGGAUGUUAUCUAUCUAACACUUCCACCCUGUGUCUCCUAGCCCUUCAGCACUGGCUUGGGAAUCUGAAUUCAAAAUAGGAGGGAUAGCAAACUCUGCAUGAGCAAUAACCCUACAGGAUGAGGCAUUUAAGUCAAUGCUAGUCAGGGCCUUCCCUGUCUGCCUAGAACCUGUAGACUUCUGGGACUGGACAGUCUGUGUGUGUGUGUGUAUGUGUGUGUGUGUGUGUGUGUGCGCGCGCGCAUGCAUGUUCAUGCAUAUACACGUGCACACCUGCUGAGGGGAUCCUCCAGUGUCUCAUGCUUCAGGGGCAACAGGGAAACUGAUGACGGAAGGCAAGAUGUCAAAUACUCAUAGAUCACACCUGCAAGCAAUAAGUAGCUCACCCAGGUAGCUGAGCUAGGGGAGUGACACAAGGACAGGGCCCAUCAACAAAUAUAGCAACGAAUCUGUUGAAGGGCAAAUUGUCCCAUUAGUGGUUUUCAACAGUGCAGUCAGUACAAGAUGAUCUUAAUUGUGUCACUGGUAUCAUUGAGCAGAGAAACUUGGCUGAGCAAAUCCAGGGUGGCAUAUAAAGUGAAUUUUCAGUUCAUUAUCUGUGGUAAAUAUUUAAUAGUUUUUUGGCUAGUUAUCCAAUGCUUUUUUUGAGUAAUUUAUUCUAAUAUAUAUAUGUAACUUAUUUAAAUGUUAUAUUAUUUAAGAGAUAUAUUCUGAAAAUGUAAAUUUCAUAAUAAUUUAAUCGUGACAACAUGUAUAACUAGAUGUCCUGGUGCCCUUAAAAAUAUUAAUUUUGACCUAGAAAUUUGCAUAUCCUUUUUAAGAAAGUCAUUGUAUUUAUAA